rnacentral:rRNA from 1 species
UACGUAGGGUGCAAGCGUUAAUCGGAAUUACUGGGCGUAAAGCGUGCGCAGGCGGUUAUAUAAGACAGUUGUGAAAUCCCCGGGCUCAACCCUGGGAACUGCAUCUGUGACUGUAUAGCUAGAGUACGGUAGAGGGGGAUGGAAUUCCGGGUGGAGUGGUGAAAUGCGUAGAGAUCCGGAGGAACACCAAAGGCGAAGGCAGUGUCCUGGGGAGUACCGUGACGCUCAGGUGCGAAAGCCAGGGGAGCGGAACGGG